GCAUGCACCACUGCCCCUGGGAGUCUGUGGUGAGUUACUGUUCUCUCUGGUUGAAUCUGUCAUCCUUAAACAUGAAAAUUAACUAACAACUGAACUUGAAUCUUCUGAGCACAUCCUGUGAGCAUUCAUUAGUUUGCAGUGUGUAUACUGUAUUUAUUGGAUUUGUUUUUCUCCCCUUCAUUCAGAUUUUUGAAGAUUCCCUCCUCUACUACUGUCCCUGAGACACUGAUUAUUAAAGUAAAUCAUUGCAUUGUCUAGUACAUGGGAUAUAUAGAAACUGUAAAAAGCUAAGUAUGAUGGCAUGGGCCCAUAAUCACAGCUCCUCAGGAGGCUGAGCUCAAUGGUAGAGCAACCCUGGAUUCAAUUCUCAGUACUGCAGAGGGAAAAAAGAAAAGGGCAGGGGAAUUGUUGGUAAUAAUCUCAUUGUCAUGAGACAACCAGUAUUGUUAGCAUUGAGUUCUGAGUUGGUGGUUUCUGUUUGCUGGUGUUUCGUUCAAGCUUGGCAUGUAUCUGGAUCCUCAAGACUGGGACAUUGUUGGUGGCAGAGGAGAAUCUCCUGGACAAGGUUUGUGUCCCUGAGUGUCUUUGCUGAUGUGGGUACCGAAGUAUUGGUAUGAGAGAAAGAAGGAGUAUUUA
rnacentral:lncRNA from 1 species